CCGGGCCGCCAGUCCCGCAGAUCUGCUUCCGGGUUGGCAGGAAAUGGCGCUGCCGGGGGCGUGACCGGGGGGCGUGGCUUUGGGCGUGGCCGCCCGCCUCCCCUCCCCUGGGCGUUUGCGGGCGGUGGGUACCGCGUCUUUGAGUCUCCAUCGCAUUGGGACGUUGUCCCGUGUCCGGCCACUGGCUCCGCGCCCACGUUCCCUCCAGUCAGAUGUUUACGGUGCUUUCAGGGUCAUUUCUAGGAGGCAGCUUUGAGAGCAGUGUGGUGUCGAGACCAUAUGGAUGGUGUGUGUGACUGAGGCUCCAUUAAGGCCGCUCAAAAUGCUUAAGAUUCUGGGAGAUGGAUGUGGAGAUCUACCCACCUUGUAGCUGCCCUAGACAAGCCUCACAUCUGGGACGUCUGUAUUCUCC